AAACACGGGGGUGGGGAAGCCCGGUGCAAUCCUACACGGAGGAGGACGAUUUAACAUUCACUCCCGUGGAACUAAUUAGGAGCCUUUGUGGUGGGCGUCCCCCUGAAACGACACAACUUGAUUUAUCUGCAUCGGGGGUCACAGAUCACGUUAAGGUCAACCUGACCUAUCGACAACCCCGCUGAAACCAGAGCCACAAAACUGCUAACCAGGGACAUCCAUACCUCCACAUCCUUGUCCUUCUGCAGCAGAGAUGAAGACAGCUCCUGCACUU